rnacentral:rRNA from 1 species
AGCAGCCGCGGUAAUUCCAGCUCCAAUAGCGUAUAUUAAAGUUGUUGCAGUUAAAAAGCUCGUAGUUGAAUUUCGGGAUCAAGGGAUCGGUCAUGCAUUAGUAUGUACUGGUCUUAUUGGUUCUCACCUUCUAAGGAACCAUGAUGUCAUUUAUUUGAUGUUGUGGGGAAUUAGGACUGUUACCUUGAAAAAUUAGAGUGUUUAAAGCAGGCUUACGCUUGAAUACAUUAGCAUGGAAUAAUGAAAUAGGACAUCAGAUUCUAUUUUGUUGGUUUCUAGGAUCGAUGUAAUGAUUAAUAGGGAUAGUUGGGGGCAUUAGUAUUCAAUUGUCAGAGGUGAAAUUCUUGGAUUUAUUGAAGACUAACUACUGCGAAAGCAUUUGCCAAGGAUGUUUUCAUUAAUCAAGAACGAAAGUUAGGGGAUCGAAGACGAUCAGAUACCGUCGUAGUCUUAACCAUAAACUAUGCCGACUAGGGAUCGGAUGAUGUUAAUUUUAAUGACUCU